rfam:Cavia porcellus supercont2_9 genomic scaffold, whole genome shotgun sequence.
GGGGAUUUAGCUCAGCGGCAUAAGUGCCUGCCUUGCAAGCAGGCAGUCGUGAGUUCGAUCUCUGGUAGAUCUCU